AUUAAAGGGGAUUCAGAGGACAAUGGCUGCUAUUCCGGCAGGGGUAAGGGAACUCGGCUUGGCGUCGGGGGUGCGGGGGUGGUUUUAGCCACCGCGUUUAACGAGUAGGCAGCUGAUGCAGACAGCUGUGCCAGACGCAGUAGAGGGCACACGGCUACGGGCGCAAGCUCCCCCCCAUAAACAGACACGCACACACAUACACACUCAAACACAGCAACAAGGCAACCUCAGUGCCCUGCCACCUUUGCCCCCAGCUCCUGUGAUCUCACACGCUGUCUUUAACGCACUUUUUGCAUGCUACAAACUUUGUUUCACACAAUAUCUGCCCUUUUCGUGGUACUGUUUGUAUGAUGAGCCCCCUAAUACGACAGAAUACACCAUGACCGUUUCCUAAGACCAUCGAUUCACCAGCGCCGUUCUGUUUGUUUUGAAAACAUCGAUUUCUUGCCGCGUCUGGGGGCUUCGUCCUCCAGUCGGAGCGACGCUCUGCUCAGAAACGGCACAAGGCCCGACUGGAAAAGGACCCGGCGUGCUAAAUAUAUCCCACAGCGAGCCGAUGAGUCAGAGGCAUAACGUAACGUUACCAUCUUGGGAGAAUCUUUCCAGACAUCAGGAGUCAAUGAUGGCCAAUAAGCGACAGUGAUGUGUUUUACUGUUUUCUGGACCGCCCGUAAUCUUCUGUACUUUUUACAGCCUUUGGCAAUCCAGCAUGCAAAACACCUCAGCACCCUACUGCUGAAAGAGAUACUGAUUAUGAACUUUGGGAAGCUUCAUUAAUGAGCUGCAGUCUGAGGAUGAAGAGCCACUGGAUGUGACCCUAUGCCAGAGGAGAAUCUGCUCACAAAUGUUAUUCCCCGUCUAGGCUGUGUCCAGUAAGAUGAUACUCCGAGACAUUGGCAGGAAAACAUUUACUGAGGGGAAAAAACUUGCUUUAAAUGAUGUCAUUUGGGCAGACAAAGGGGGAAACAAACAUCGUUUUUAUGUACCCAGAUUCAUUUCAUGACAGCAUUUCGCGCAACUUCCCAUUAAACAGUACCAUGAAAAUCAUGUAUUUGGUUCCAGAAAAUGUUCUAGUGAAAUGAAAAAAAUCAGUACUUACUUUUGACCAUAAGCAUUGUGUGAUAUCCAUUAUGUGUACGAGACAUAACUGAACUUCCCCAUUGUAAAGCUGUUUUUGACAUCACUCAAAACAAGAUCAAGGAACCGAAACAAAUCCGGAAAUGUUAAUUUGUGUUUGUUGUGUUCUGUUCUGUGAUUAUUUUGGAAAACAAAUGUGAAGAUUGUCUAUGGUGGCAUUUUCUUUGCUUUGAUCUUAAACAGAAUUCAAACUAAAUAUUCUCAACCUUUCCCUUUAUUUAUUUUUUUUGUGCAAGCCCUCGGAUAUAAUAAAUUUAGAAUUUGCAGGCAAGCAGACCUCA